AACGAACGCUGGCGGCAUGCCUAACACAUGCAAGUCGAACGAGACCUUCGGGUCUAGUGGCGCACGGGUGCGUAACGCGUGGGAACCUGCCCUUAGGUUCGGAAUACCUCCCCGGAAGGGGUGCUAAUACCGGAUAAUGUCUUCGGACCAAAGAUUUAUCGCCUUUGGAUGGGCCCGCGUUGGAUUAGCUAGUUGGUAGGGUAAAAGCCUACCAAGGCGACGAUCCAUAGCUGGUCUGAGAGGAUGAUCAGCCACACUGGGACUGAGACACGGCCCAGACUCCUACGGGAGGCAGCAGUGGGGAAUAUUGGACAAUGGGCGAAAGCCUGAUCCAGCAAUGCCGCGUGAGUGAUGAAGGCCUUAGGGUUGUAAAGCUCUUUUACCCGGGAUGAUAAUGACAGUACCGGGAGAAUAAGCGCCGGCUAACUCCGUG
rnacentral:rRNA from 1 species